UAGUAGCUCAAUUGGAUAGAGCAACAGCUUUCUAAGCUGUGGGUUGCAGGUUCGAUUCCUGCCUG
rnacentral:tRNA from 1 species